CGUGUAGGCGGCGAUACAAGUCUGGUGUGAAAUACUCCGGCUCAACCGGAGAGACGCGCUGGAAACUGUAUUGCUAGAGUUUAGGAGGGGGAACUGGAAUUCCAGGUGUAGGGGUGAAAUCUGUAGAGAUCUGGAAGAACACCGGAGGCGAAGGCGAGUUCCUGGCCAUAGACUGACGCUGAGGCGCGAAAGCGUGGGGAGCGAACAGGAUUAGAUACCCUGGUAGUC
rnacentral:rRNA from 1 species